AGUAAAAGAAAUAAACAGAAACUAAAAGAAAAGAUAUAAUAGCAAUGGACGAAACAGAGAAGAAACAGGGGAGAAAGAAAGAAAGAAAAGGAAAAGGAAAAUUUGGGUUUCAACGUUCAAAGUUAAUUUGUUAAUGUCGUGCAAGAGUCAUUGACCAAGAAAGGAAAGGAGAAGGUGGACAAUGAGUGACUCGAGAGAAAUUUCGGUAAGUAUAUGGGAGUGAAAAAUGGGCUAAAAUCAGACGAAAAGAGUUGUUUCCAAGAUCCACACGACAUGGGCAUUUCCACACGGGCUGACCACACGCCCAUAUGCCAGCCCAUGUCGAUUUCAAACCUUGCUUCCCUUUUACGCGGAAAAACCUAAUUUUUAGGGCAUUCUAAAGUUUAUAAAUACAUAUUAGAAGAGGACCUAAGGGAGCAUACAGAGAAGACUGAAGAAAAGACUCGAAGAACACCAUCGGAAUCAUCUUAGGAAGCAGAUCUCCUUCAAGAUUGAAGAUCUACAUUUAAUUUCUUUAGAAGUUUAAUUGGGUUUCUUCAUGUCUUGUUGUUAUCUUAACUUUGAGAUAAAUACCUAGGGAAGAUGAAACCUAUGAUGAAUCUUAUUAUUUGAUUUCUGAUUUACAUGAUAAAUAUUUGAUUCUUGUACUAAAUUAUGUAUGCGUAUUUCACGUUUUAAUA